rnacentral:lncRNA from 1 species
GGAUCUAAAAUAAGGUUGUUAUGCACACAUAGCAAAUAUGAACUGUUAUUCUAAAACCUAUAUCACUUGCUUUAUAUCCUGAGGGACAUUUUUUUCCUCCGUAUACUGAGGUCAUGGGAAUGCUUUGAAUGGUUAUGCUGUACAGCACCACCAGUGGUGCACUAUUGACAUUUGUGAAGGGUUAUCUAGUGAUCGUGUCCUCUUCUUGAUAAUGUAGCAAGAGCAAAAUGGGCCUUGAAUUUGGUUGCACUCAGUUUUCCAAGUUGUUUGAAAUCAGUGCUUGAAAACUCACAAUUGUGAAUUCUGUGAUAAUGUUAUUUAAAUGCUGCUGACAUUCCUUUUAUUUAUUGAGAAGAACUUGGAUGUUGAAAAUAUGUAUGAUGAUAAGUAAAAAGUAAGUAGCAAGCUCACUUACUGAUUCAUUUUCCAAAAUGAGAGACAGUACCUGUGGCGCCUCCACAUGCAGAGGAGACGGUCUGGAGAGCAGAGAGUCCCAUUGAGAAUGUGGUGAAUUGUUAGGAGGUGGUCACUCACUGAUCAUUCUCAAACAGUCUUGCAGAGCCUUCCCAGCAGAGCACGGUCCUUUGUGUUGAUAGUGAUCAGAACAGCAGCCUACCCAAGGCAACACUCGCUCUGCCACAGUCUUCACAGCUGAUUUGAGGAAGAUGAAUUAUAGACAGACAGGUACUCGGAGCAUGUGAGAGCUUAAAGAUCUAUAGUUUUGUCUAUAGUUAGUCUAUAAUUUUGUCUAGGUCCUGAUUUCCUUUCGCUGUGUUUAAAUAUUUUUGUCAGAUUUAUUAUUUGUGUGUGUGUGCAUAUGUGUAUAUAUAUAUGAGUACACUGUAGCUGUCUUCAGACACAUCAGAAGAGGGCAUUGGAUCCCAUUACAGAUAGAUGUGAGCCACCCUGUGGUUGCUGGAAAUUGAACUCAGAACCUCUGGAAGAGCAGUCGGUGCUCUUAGCCGCUGAGCCAUCUCUCCAGCACCUACUCUCCACUCUUUAUGUCUCUAACUACCUUCUCUUCUCUCUGAUUGAAUAGCUACAAGUAAUAAUGCUAACGGCUUUACUGAAGACUCUGUUUGUUUGUUUAGGGUAGGCCCCUCCAUAUGUAGCCAAGGCUAACCUGGACCUUAUUGUCUUUCUAUCUCCUUACCACUUGCUUGGAUCACAGUCUUGUUAAAUUGGCCUCAAAUUCACUGUGCAGCAGAGACUUACUUUAAGUACCCGUACUUCUGCUUCUUAGGUCCUUGAUUACAAACCUGCUCCAUCACUUCUUGCCUGGGUUUUGUUUUAAUCUUUGUGUAUGUGUCUGUGUGAGUGUGAGUGUGGAUCUCAGAGGAUAGUGUCAGGUGUGCGUACCUUGCGGUGCCAGCUUUUCUACAGUUCUGGGCAUUUAAACUCAGAUUGUCAGGCUUGUGUGGAAAGUGUUUGUGCAGUCUCCCUAGGUCCAGGCCCCAGAACUGCUAAUUAGUUAAGUGCUAACUGUAAUUAGUGUUUGUCGAUGCUGCUGUCUUGAGGUGCUAGAGCAAUGACCUAGCAUUUCCUGUGUGCAAAGUGAGUACUCCAUGGGCUGGUUGUGGCUGGUUGAAACUGGUUGUGUCCACAGCCUUUUUCUUGCUUGAGUUCUCUAAACUUUUUUCCUUUUCUAUUUACUAGUACACUACAUAUUAUUUUUAAGUCCCUCCUCCUUUUUUUUCUUGAGAAAUGGGUUCACUGCGUAGUCCUGGUUUGCCUCAAGCUUUUAGUGAGUAUUUUUCUUGAGGAUUCUUGUCCUUGUUGUGGGGGUGGGGAGGUGAUAUAAAGUAAAAGUGGCAAAAAUUGUAAAAUUGGUGAGUUUAUGCGGUCUGAAAUUUCAAAGGAGAAGUUGAAGUAAUGGCCAUAGAUUUAGGGAGGAAUCAGCUGGCAACAAAUGGGAAAAACUUUGCAGGCAGGCAGCCAGAAGACAAGGGGACAGUGAGGGAGGGUGUGGUGUAGUGGGGGAUGGAGCUGAUGAAGGCCAUCAUCACAUUUGGAGUUUUCUGUAGAGAGGAAGGUUUUCAGGGAGGAGGGGCUGCCAGCUGAUGGUGACCUCACUUUAGAGAGAUCUCUUAGGUGGUUGGAAAUGGGUUCAGGUAGAGGAGAUGACCAGGCAAGAGCUGGACUACCUGGUUAACUGGAAUAAGAGGAGCUGGAGAAACAUAGUUUCAGAGGGAUGUUAAAAGUUUGCCAGCGGGUGGCGCACGCCUUUAAUCCCAGCACUUGGGAAGCAGAGGCAGGUGGAUUUCUGAGUUCGGGGCCAGCCAGGGCUAUAGAGAAACCCUGUCUCGAAAAAACAAAAAAAAAACAAAAAAAAACAAAAAAACCCAAAAACC